GACAGAGGGUGCGAGCGUUGUUCGGAAUUACUGGGCGUAAAGGGUUCGUAGGUGGCCAACUAAGUCAGACGUGAAAUCCCUCAGCUUAACUGGGGAACUGCGUCUGAGACUGGAUGGCUUGAGUGCAGGAGAGGAACGCGGAAUUCCAGGUGUAGCGGUGAAAUGCGCAGAUAUCAGGGGGAACACCGAUGGCGAAGGCAGCUCGCUGGGACGGUACUGACGCUGAGGCGCGAAAGCGUGGGGAGCAAACAGG
rnacentral:rRNA from 1 species